rnacentral:rRNA from 1 species
UACGUAGGGGGCAAGCGUUGUCCGGAAUCAUUGGGCGUAAUGAGCGUGUAGGCGGCCCGAUAAGUCCGCCGUGAAAGUCCAGGGCUCAACCCUGGGAUGCCGGUGGAAACUGUCGGGCUAGAGUCCGGAAGAGGCGAGUGGAAUUCCUGGUGUAGCGGUGAAAUGCGCAGAUAUCAGGAGGAACACCAAUGGCGAAGGCAGCUCGCUGGGACGGUACUGACGCUGAGACGCGAAAGCGUGGGGAGCAAACAGG